rnacentral:rRNA from 1 species
AAUGAACGCUGGCGGCAGGCCUAAUACAUGCAAGUCGAACGAGUGGCGGACGGGUGAGCCAUGUCUGGGAAACUGCCUGAUGGAGGGGGACAACUACUGGAAACGGUAGCUAUUACCGAAUAACAUCGGAAGUGCCCAGACGGGAUCAGAUAGUAGGUGGGGUAAAGGCUCACCUAGGCGACGAUCCCUCGCUGGUCUGAGAGGAUGAGCAGCCACACUGGAACUGAGACACGGUCCAGACUCCUACGGGAGGCAGCAGUGGGGAAUAUUGCACAAUGGGCGCAAGCCUGAUGCAGCCAUGCCGCGUGUAUGAAGAAGGCCUUCGGGUUGUAAAGUUCUUUCAGCGGGGAGGCGUUACCCGCAGAAGAAGCACCGGCUAACUCCGUGCCAGCAGCCGCGGUAAUAC